rnacentral:tRNA from 1 species
GGAGUCAUAGUUCAGUGGUCGAACACAUGUUCUGUUUAUAGAUAGUCCCAGGUUCAAUUCCUGGUAAUUCCA